UUGUAGCUAAUUAAGCUGACCAAGUCCCCUUCCUCAUGGUGAUCCUGUAUGUAAUGGUUGCAAACAGCAGCCUCCUUGAUAGUUAUGCAGCCUUUUGCCUAUAUAGGUUGCUCUAAGGGACCUUGGAGACAAUU